UACGGAGGGUGCAAGCGUUGUCCGGAUUUAUUGGGUUUAAAGGGUGCGUAGGCGGUUCUUUAAGUCAGCGGUGAAAGUCCAGAGCUCAACUCUGGGAUUGCCAUUGAUACUGAGGAACUUGAGUAUAGUUGAGGUAGGCGGAAUUGACAGUGUAGCGGUGAAAUGCAUAGAUAUUGUCAAGAACACCGAUUGCGUAGGCAGCUUACUAAACUAUAACUGACGCUGAGGCACGAAAGUGUGGGGAUCAAACAGG
rnacentral:rRNA from 1 species